CUUCAUCUGAAUAGGAUUGAUUUCGUGAAUCCCAACUUUGAGCAAAUAACAUCAUCUUCAUCAGAGUAUUAACGAGACUAAUGCCAUCGUGUUUCAGAUUCCUAACUUUAGGCGGUGGUCACAUUCCGAUCCCGAAUUUCAUGAUUGAUGUCCUCGUGUUUCAAUAUGACGGGUUAUCCGGGUGUAAUGGAUUUCAGGGUUAUUUCUAACUUGAGCUUCAUGAAUAGGCUUCUUUUGUCCAGACUAAGAGAAGUAUAAAAAGGAUGAAAGAGACUCAAUAUUGGCCAAAAUCGAAGUCUUACAAUCAUGUUUCGAACUUCUGAAGAGAACUAAUUUAGCCAAUUAUGCAAC